ACCAUGAGUACAGUGGCGUACGGGUGAGUAACACGUGGGUGAUCUACCUCUUAGUGGGGAAUAACCCUGGGAAACCGGGGCUAAUACCGUAUAAGCUCGAGAGAGGAAAGCAGCAAUGCGCUGAGAGAGGAGCCCGCGGCCGAUUAGCUAGUUGGCAGGGUAAAAGCCUACCAAGGCAAAGAUCGGUAGCCGGCCUGAGAGGGCACACGGCCACACUGGCACUGAAACACGGGCCAGACUCCUACGGGAGGCAGCAGUGGGGAAUCUUGCACAAUGGGGGAAACCCUGAUGCAGCGACGCCGCGUGAGCGAUGAAGCCCUUCGGGGUGUAAAGCUCUUUCGUCAGGGAAGAUGAUGACGGUACCUGGAGAAGCAGCUGCGGCUAACUACGUGCCAGCAGCCGCGGUAAUACGUAGGCAGCAAGCGUUGUUCGGAGUUACUGGGCGUAAAGGGUGUGUAGGCGGUUCUUUAAGUUUGGUGUGAAAUCUCCCGGCUCAACUGGGAGGGUGCGCCGAAUACUGAGGGACUCGAGUGCGGGAGAGGAAAGUGGAAUUCCUGGUGUAGCGGUGAAAUGCGUAGAUAUCAGGAGGAACACCGGUGGUGUAGACGGCUUUCUGGACCGUAACUGACGCUGAGACACGAAAGCGUGGGUAGCAAACAGGAUUAGAUACCCUGGUAGUCCACGCCCUAAACG
rnacentral:rRNA from 1 species